GUUAGCCAGGAUGGUCUCGAUCUCCUGACCUAGUGAUCCGCCCGUCUCGGCCUCCCAAAGUGCUGGUAUUACAGGCGUGAGCCACUGCUCCCGGCCAUAAUGUGCAUUUCUUACCCUGGCCUGUGAGGGCCUGCAGAAUCUUGCUCCAUACUCUCUCCAAUCUGAUGCUGUACCAUUCCAUUUUUGCUCAUGACGUCUGGCUACACCAGCUCCUUGCUGCUCCUGGAACAGUCCAAGCCAUUGCCAUCUUCUGGGUAUUCAUACUUGUUUCCCCUACCCGAAGCAUUCUUCCCCUAGCUCCUUUCAUAUCCAAAUUAUUCUCAUCCUUUGGGUUUUCCCUUACUUUCCUGAUUAUCUUGUCAGAAGUAGUUCCCUCUACUACAGAGAAGGAUGCAUCAGCUUGUCACUGUUCAUUCCCCAGUGCCUAAUAUAAUGCUUUGGCAAAGCAUAAGUACCAGAUAAAUAUUUCUUGAAAGAAGAUUGAAUGAAUGGAUGAAUGAUGAACACAUUUCAAAAUCACUUGCCUUUCUGUUCAUUUUUUGAAAUGUAGUUAAAUAUGGUAAAUCUUUCCUGAGUAAUUUAGACUCUUUGGUUUGUUAAACAAAUUUUAUGUUAGACAGUUACUUCUGCUAAUGUGUUCUUUUUAAAAUCAUGCUUAGGAAUUCCAUAUUUAAAUCAGGAAGAAGAAAGACAGUUAAGAGAGCAGUAUGAUGAAAAACUUUCACAGGCGAAUGGUGCAGGAGCUCUGUCCUAUGUAUCUCCUAACACUUCAAAAUGUCCUGUCACGAUUCCUGAGGAUCAAAAGAAAUUUAUUGACCAAGUGGUAGAGAAAAUAGAAGAUUUAUUACAAAGUGAAGAAAACAAGAACUUGGAUUUAGAGCCAUGUACCGGGUUCCAAAGAAAACUAAUGUAUCAGACUUUGAGCUGGAAGUAAGUAUUUAUAUUGUAUACAGGAGCUCUGUGGGGGACCCAGGA